CACCUUCGAAGGCUAAGUACUCCUGACUGACCGAUAGUGAACCAGUACCGUGAGGGAAAGGUGAAAAGCACCCCGACGAGGGGAGUGAAACAGUUUCUGAAACCGGACGCCUACAAUCAGUCGGAGGCUCCUUGAGAGCUGACGGCGUACCUUUUGUAUAAUGGGUCAUCGACUUGGUCUAUCUAGCAAGCUUAAGCCGUUAGGUGUAGGCGCAGCGAAAGCGAGUCUUAAUAGGGCGAAUGAGUUAGAUGGAUCAGACCCGAAACCGAGUGAUCUAGGCAUGACCAGGAUGAAGGUAAGGUAACACUUACUGGAGGUCCGAACCCACACCUGUUGAAAAAGGUCGGGAUGAGUUGUGCCUAGGGGUGAAAGGCCAAUCAAACUCGGAGAUAGCUGGUUCUCCGCGAAAUCUAUUUAGGUAGAGCGUCAUCCGAAUACCCCGGGGGGUAGAGCACUGGAUGGGUAAUGGGGCCCCACAGGCUUACUGAUCCUAACCAAACUCCGAAUACCGAGAAGUAAUAGAUGGCAGACAGACUGCGGAUGCUAACGUCCGUAGUCGAGAGGGAAACAACCCUGACCUACAGCUAAGGCCCCUAAUUCAUGGCUAAGUGGGAAAGCAGGUGAGACGGCCAAAACAACCAGGAGGUUGGCUUAGAAGCAGCCACCCUUUAAAGAAAGCGUAAUAGCUCACUAGUCGAGUCGGCCUGCGCGGAAGAUGUAACGGGGCUCAAACUGGUCACCGAAGCUGCGGCUGCAUACUUUGUAUGCGGGGUAGGGGAGCGUUCUGUAAGCCUGCGAAGGUGUGUUGAGAAGCAUGCUGGAGGUAUCAGAAGUGCGAAUGCUGACAUGAGUAACGAUAA
rnacentral:rRNA from 1 species